rnacentral:tRNA from 1 species
AAAAAAUUAGUUAAACUAUAACAUUAGGUUGUCAAUCUAAAAUUAUUUAUUAAUAAAUAUUUUUUA